GCUGUGAUUCCUUUCUAUUCGCGACAUCUCCUCUCGCGCGGCUAGGGCACGCAGCCUCCCACCGCCGGCCGUCUCUUCUUCCUCACCACCGGUCGGCAGCUCUUUCUUCUCUUCACUGCCGCCGGCCGGACCUCCAUAGCCCACCCUUCUUCUUGAUUCCAGCGGCGACAGCAGCAAGCACCGACGACGACUCCGAGCAUCCACCUCACCUGUACGCCAUGUGGUUGAAGCACAUCGAUGCAUCAUGCGGGUUCUCUGCCUCAGGUAGGGUGUGCUGGGUGUGCAGACGUUGUUAAUAGAAUCCGGGGAGUGCUUGGCGGGAGAGGGGAUUUUCGGGCUAUCAGGGAGAUGAACUACAGGAGCAGUUCGAUUUCUUCAGCUGCUAAGGCUUCUGCCAGGGCAUUUGAUUUCGGAAGGACCCAUGUGGUUCGACCCAAGGGAAGGCAUUUGGCCACUGUCAUGUGGCUUCAUGGCCUAGGUGAUAAUGGAGCAAGAUUUUAGUUGAUACACAAGGAGAGCGCCAUUUCAAAGCUGAAGUUGGAACUAUCAGUCGUGCACACCAUCGCCAUUUGGUUUCUCUUGUAGGUUACUGUGUAUCAGAGAAUCAGAGAUUGCUCGUCUAUGAUUAUGUGCCCAAUAGAACUCUUUAUUACCAUCUCCAUGGAAAAGGAAGAGCAGUAAUGCAAUGGACCAAGAGGGUUAAGGUCGCUGUUGGGACAGCUCGUGGAAUAACAUACCUUCAUGAGGAGUGUAAUUUCUAUUUUCUUUCUUGUUCCACUCAUCUUUGUUGACUUGAAAUAAACCAUACAUUAAAUCAGAAAUUUUUGUCAAUUUUAGUUCUUGUAUCAGGUAAUCCUCGGAUAAUUCACAGAGAUAUCAAGUCCUCAAACAUUUUAUUAGAUUACAACUUUGAGGCUAAGGCUGCCAUACAUCUUAUUUGGUGCACUGAAACUGCCAGAACUUUGAAAUAGAACUAUCUACUUUGUCAUCAUAUGUUUUAAAUUCGAAUGUCAUUAUUUACUUUGAAACAGAACUAUUUAGUUUUUCUGUAUAGUUGAAUUCUCCUGUAAAUACUAAUACUUUGUAUUGAAUUC